CACCACACAUGCCACACUGAUACCACACACACCACACACAAGCCAAAUACCUCACACACACCAUAAAUAACACACAAAUCCACCACACACAACCACCAAACACACAACACGUACACACCACACACAACCACCAAACACACAACACGUACACACCACACACACCCACCAAACACACAACAUGUGCACACCAUGAACACCACACACACACCACAUACUCACUAUACAUGUGCCACACACACACAUCACAAACCACACAGAUGCCACACACACCACAUACGCCACACAGAUACCACGCACACCAUAUACAUGCCACACAGAUACCUCACACACCACACACAUCAUACAUAACAAACACACCACACACACUACACACAGAAUCACCACACAACACAUACACAUCACACACACCACACACCAUACACACCACACACUGUACACACCACACACAUGCCACACAGAUACCGCACACAGCAUACAUACCACACACCACAUAGAUGUCACAUAUACACCACACAUGCCACAGAAAUAUCCUAUAUACAGCACACACACCACACACCACACACACAUACCACACACACACACUACACACAUACCAGAUACCACACACAUACCACACACUGCAUACACUACAUACAUCACACAUACCACACACACACCACACAGAUGCCACACACAGACCACACACACCGCACACACGCCAAACAGCAUACAUACCACACACAACAGAUACCACAUACCACACACAUCACACACACAGCAUAUAUACCACGCACACAACAGAUACCAUGCACCACACACAGCACACAACCAAAUACAACACGCACAUCACACACACAACACACAUCACACACAACACACACAUCACAUACAUGCCACACACAACACAUACACAUCACACAGAGACACUAUACAUAAAUACCACAUAUACCCCACAUACAACAUGCCACACAUGCCACACACACCAUAUACCACACACACAUACCACACAUACACAACAUACCUACAGAUGCCACACACAGACCAUACAUACCACACACACACCAAACAGCACACAUACCACACACACCAUACACACAACAGAUGCCACAUACUACACACACAUCACAAACAUGCCACACACACCACAUACAUAUGUCACACAGAGACACCACACAUACAUACCACACAUACCCCCACAUACCACACAACAUACCACACAUGCCACACACACACCACAUAUACAUUCUACACACACCACACAACCUAUCCCAUGCCACCACACACACCAAGCUUACAUACCACACAUACACCACACAUCAUACACACCAUACAUAUGUACCACACACCUACAUACAUAUCAUACACCCACACCACACUCACAUACAACAUACACACCACACCCACCUCACAUGCACAUAUCACACACCACAUGCACCAUACAUACCAUAGUCCCACACACAUCACAUACACACACCACACAUGUACCACACACCAUACACACCACACAUACAUACACACACCAUACAUACAUAUACACCCACAUCCACACCAUAUUCACAUACCACAUACACACUACACACACCUCACACACACAUACCACACUACACACACACCAUACAUACCAUAGUCCCACACAUACCACACACACCAUACACCAAACAUACAUCAUGCACACUACACACACACACCAUACAUACAUACCAUAUACCCCCACAAACCAUAUAGAUACCACACACACAGCACAUGCCAUGCAGCACACACACACCACAUAUACAAAAACCACACACCACAAAUACCAUACACACCACACACACACCACAAAUAGAUACCUCACACACAUAACACAUAUACCACACGCCAUACACACCCCACACAUCACACACCAUACACACCACACCAUAUACACAUCACACUACACACACCAUGCACACACACCACACAUACAUACCACACACACCAUACAUACCACAUACACACAUCACACACACACCAUACAUACCACAUACACACACCACACACACACUACACAUACACAAACAGCAUACACAUACACACACCCUCCACACUCCCUACACACACACACACACCAUACACACACAUAUACUACACACACAUACCCCACAUACACACUCACCCAUAAACACAGGGAGUGGGAAGGACCCCAAGGGCACCCUUCCCUCCCUGUCCCCGCCUGCACUCUCUCAGAGGCCCCUGUGAACUAGCUCUAUGAGGGUCAGAUGCAUAGAUGGGCAGAGGUGGGCCUAGCCCUGGGUCUAGUGGAGACCCCCAGGCAGCCCAGAGCCAAGCCACCUCUGCACACACCUCUGCUCCCAGCAUGCCAUCCCUGGAAAGCCCUGUGCACUCCCACCCUGCCCCCCCGCAAGUCCUCCAGGAAUCCCUCACACCCAGAGGUGGCAGGUCCUUGAGGAAGUGCCACAUGCUAACACCCCUUCGUCUGCUGCCACACCUCACUUUGAGGAUGGGAGCUGAAGGUCAGGUGGGGAGCCUCAGAUCAAUUCCCAGCAGUACCAGGUGGGGCUCAGAGAAGGG
rnacentral:lncRNA from 13 species